CAGCGAUGAUGUAAUUAAUAUUUGCUAUCCUACUUGUUGUAUGACGAAGAUAAAACUACCACUAAGAUCUCUGAGCUG
rnacentral:snoRNA from 1 species